AGGUCAGUCCUGUGCCGGAGUCAGCCUCACACAGUCACAGCACAGACAUGAGGGUCCUCACACAGCUCCUGGUGUUGCAGCUGCUCUGCCUUAUAGGUGCCAGAUGUGACAUCCAGAUGACCCAGUCUCCAGCCACCCUGUCUGCUUCUCUUGGGGAAAGUGUCACCAUGACAUGCCAAGCAAGUCAGAACAUUUACAGUAAUUUAGCAUGGUAUCAGCAGAAACCAGGGGAACGUCCUCAGGUUCUGACAAGCAGCUUGGCAGAUGGGGUCCCUUCUAGAUUCAGUGGCAGUGGAUCUGGCACACAGUUUUCUCUCAAGAUCAGCAGCCUGCAGUCUGAAGAUGUGGCAACUUAUUACUGUGAACAGCAUAGUAAUCUACCUCGCACAGUGAUACAAGUCAUUACAUAA